rnacentral:rRNA from 1 species
CCUACGGGAGGCAGCAGUGGGGAAUCUUGCGCAAUGGGCGAAAGCCUGACGCAGCCAUGCCGCGUGAAUGAUGAAGGUCUUAGGAUUGUAAAAUUCUUUCAGUAGGGACGAUAAUGACGGUACCUACAGAAGAAGCCCCGGCUAACUUCGUGCCAGCAGCCGCGGUAAUACGAAGGGGGCUAGCGUUGCUCGGAAUUACUGGGCGUAAAGGGAGCGUAGGCGGGUUAUCAAGUUGGAGGUGAAAGCCCAGGGCUCAACCUUGGAAUAGCCUUCAAAACUGAUAACCUAGAGGAUGGAAGAGGUAAGUGGAACUCCGAGUGUAGAGGUGAAAUUCGUAGAUAUUCGGAAGAACACCAGUGGCGAAGGCGACUUACUGGUCCAUUACUGACGCUGAGGCUCGAAAGCGUGGGGAGCAAACAGGAUUAGAUACCCUGGUAGUCCACGCUGUAAACGAUGAUCGCUAGUUNUCGGCAGNANGCUCGUCGUGCGCNGCUACGACAUAGUACANACCGCCGUCGGGAGGUACGGUCGGCGAGAAGUAAACGUAACAAAGUAAGUAAGUUAGUUACGGACGUGUUAGACGUAGCCGACGGACGACGACGAGGGAGGAGG